UAGUAUCAGGAAGCAAGAUAUCAGAAAGCCAUUUCACCAAAGAUGAUUAAGAGAGUCUUGCUCCAGAACCCCUUUAGAAGUUAAAAAAUGAAAAGAAAAAGAGAUGGAGGUAACUUACGGAAUAGGCCCUUUUCAGCGCUGGGACCAGUGUUGUGGAAUUCCCUCCACAAUGAAGUUUACUGAAUUUACAGUGCAAUACAGAUGUAAGUCCAAUUGAAUUCAGUGGGUCUCACUCCCUAGAUAAGUGGGUAUAGGAUUACAGCUUUAGAAAGCUGGCAAAUACCUUUAUUCUUCAAAAAACAUUUGAGGAGUGAUUCUGGCUUUUUGUAUGUGGAUUGUAUAUACUAUAUUGUAUUGCUGUAGUGUAUAUUGAAUUUAGCUACUAACAUGAGUUUGACCAAACUGCGGGAGGAGGACAGGAGUGCCUGGCGUGCUCUGGUCCAUGCUGUCAUGAAGAGUUGGACACGACUAAACAACAACAGCAACAGCAACAUAUUGAAUUUAAGGGCCAAUAUGUAUUGGGUAGGGCUUUCCCCCCCAUUGUGUUGUUUUAUGGUUGUGAACUCACAACAAUAAAAAAUAAAACAAUACAAUGUCAAAGGCAGGGGAGCUCAUCUGGACAUAGAAUAGGAUAACAAUUUAAUAAAUGAAAAACGAACGAUCCUGAAAUCUCCAAGGAGAGAGGCAGUGCACAGUAUUGAUCCACCAAGACUUUUGUUCCUAGGGGUUUCAUCUAUAGAAUUGCAGGCUGGAAAUAUUCUUGGUUAAGCAUUUAAGCAUAAUAGUUCUCAUGUGGGAAAGGUAGACAUGAAAGCAGUAGGUAGGAAAACGCCUUUCUCUACUCUCCUGGAGUCUGCAGCCUGGCUUCCAGCUGGGCUCUUGUGAGAGCACAGCCUGAAAGAGACCAUUAGGGUGCAAAAGCAAUGAAUGAUGCUAGUCCUGGUCUAAAAUCAUCUUCCAUUCACUUCUUUGGUAACGUUUGGGACAAAAUAUGCUAUGAGUUUUCUGGGAUCUCACUGGGGGAAAAGGCUACUCAAUUAAAACAAGCUAAGGAAACAAGCUUCUUUUGCCCUGUGUAAGCAGUGAAAGGGCAGAGGCAACAGUGAGUAUCUUCAGCAGCUAAAGAAGAAAGGAGCUUGAAAGACCCCAAAUCUGGAGUGAGGCCAAAUGCAAAGUGAGUUGUUUUGGGAUGAAGAGGCAGCUCAUGGAAGAGGGGAACUGGGCACUGGGAGAGCUGCUAAAGCAACAUUUGAGGUGGGGGCCCACAAAGCGCUUUGUCAUCAUUUAGAGAGAAGUUAAAAUACGGGGCGGAUAAGGACGUAUAAAUUGGCAGCAGAUUGUGGUUUAUGGUAAUGACAGUCCCAGAGGAGCAUCUCUCUCUUGGUGACAUUGAAGUAAAUUGCAUUGCUCAAGAUGUAUACUAAGGAUGGAUAAUGAGAUGUGUGCACAGGGUAGAAAAGAUUGUGGGUUUUAUGAUGCUAUUGAACUCCCGGAGAUGAGUGUGUGUGUGUCUUUGAAAAAGCCAAGUUGCAGAGGGGGAAGGGAAGGGAGGAGGGUGCCAAUGGUAACACAAAGCUCCAAAAAUGCAUUGUCUUGCUGCAGCCCAAAUAUUUGUACUUAAUACACUCCCUAAUCAACUCUUUUUAAAUAUGUGCACAGCCUUUCACAUGCACACCAAGGAUUCCUCCCUCCCAAAUUAUCCCUUUCUGCUGCAUCAGAGACCAACUCUGAAGCUGCCCUGAAUUUAGAUUCAGCUUAUCCAACAACACAAGCCGUUGUUUUCAGUAAUGGGAGGAAGCAUCGGCAGCAGAAGGCAUUUCUUAAGAGAAUUAGACAAAUUCAGGGAAGAUGAGGCUGUCAGUGGUUACUAGCGAAGAUGCCUGUGUUUUGCCUCCACUUUUGGAGGCAUACUGCCUCUGAGCACUAGUUGUGGGGGACCGCAAGUGAGGGGAGGGUAGCUGUUCUCAUGUCCUGCUUGUGAGCUUCCCAUUGGCAUCUGGAUGGUCACUGUGGGAGUAGGAUGCUGAGCUAGAAGGGCCUUUGGUCAGCUCUUCCUGAGUGGGGAAGAGUGAAGAGCUUCCCACAAAGCCUUUUUGGAUCAGGGCCAGCAAUGAGGCAAGAAGAUCAUCAGGUCAUAAGAAAACCCAGCUCACAACUUGGCUGGCCAUGUCUCCCACUUUACAAAGGAUACUUCUCGUCUUCAAAGAGUUCUCUGUUUGAAGGGCUAUUCAUUCCAAGUACACAUUUAAAAUAAAGAUCCCUGAGAAGGGAGAAUGGGGGGCCUUGGAGAUGUCUGUCAAGAGCAUCCCUAGAGCAGGCUGAGCAGGCUCACAGAUCAUCAGGACACUGUCUUCCCCACAAAGGUGAGAUGCAUUGUAUUUCUGUUUAAACUACAUAAACAUUUUGUAAAUUUGCACCUGUAUCUAUGAAUUAACAUAUGGACAUUUAAAAAUGACUUGACUUGUUCAGCACAUUUAUCUGCAAAACUUUUCUCAGAAUACGAUUUUCUGCAUUUUGAAUUUGCUGUCCACAUAUUUCACAUAUGUGGAAGACACAUAGCUUAUUGGUAGAUCAUCUGUUUGCAUGCAGAAGGUGCCAGGUGCAGUUCCUAGCAUCUUUAUGUAGGCCUGGGAAAGACUCCUGUCCGAAAGCCUAGGGAGCUGGUAGUGGUCAGGGCAGAGGGAGCAAAGGUCUUAUGAGAUAUAAGGCAGCUUCCUGUGUUAUCACAUCCUAGCAUAAGUAUUCUUGCCCGGUUUGCAUUCAAAGCCUUGUAUUUCUUAGCACUCUUUUCAAAGUGUUGACUAGCUUGCUAUUUAAGGAGGCUCCCAAUGUUCCCUUCAUCUGAAUUUCAGUCCCACAUUCUGGGAUUCAAAAUUACUUGGUCUUUUGGAAGUUUAUGAGGUAGAGCAAAUGCACAGAAUAAUAGGAGAAAGGCAGAAACGACAUGCUCAUCCUUUCUUAUCCCUUAUUGCUGUUCCCCUUCAAAAUAUUAAGUGGCUUGCUCUUGCACAUGGCAUUGAGCUGUUGCUCAACAUGCUCAGCAGUGCUCAUGACAUGCUCUUUGUCAUGCUGACAGUACACUCUCUGUCCUCACUGCUUUCAUCUCUAUCCAUCAUAUAUGCACAGGCAUGGCAUGUCUCCAGUUCUGCAUCCUGUGAAGAUCAGGGGCAUUGCAUUUGCAUCUUCCCACAAUGCCUUAAGGAUAGCACUCUCUUGCCCCAGUGACAAAAUGUUUGUGCCUGGAAAUCACAAAAGAGAAUACGCUAGGGACUGGGGAGAUUUGAUUCAGUUCACAUUUGAAGGUGAACCCACCUAAUUUGCACUUUUUGAAACAAUAUGUGAACCAAAACUCAUCCAUACCUCUGAAAUUCACACUUCUCCCAAUUUUGCAGUGCAGUUCUCCUGCCAAGCAAUGUGUACACUAGGGUAAAGUGGGCAUAAAAAUGCAUAGACUAGUGACAAUUAUGUGCAAAAAUGCCUUACAUUUGGGGGAAAUUGUUUUGCAAAAAUGCAAAUAUUAAGUAAGCUUGCUCAUAAAAAUGUGUGCAUUAGGAGAAACAACAGAUGUAUUUUCAUAAAGACUUUAAAAGAAAAAAAGCAAUCAGAUGUCACAGUAUGGAGAUGUGAACUUAAGAGUGGAAAAAUGAGAAACUGCAAGAAACCAAAACUGAUAGAUUUCCCCAUCACUGGAACAAGCUUGUUGUUGUUUUUAUAUGCCAUUCCUAACAGAUAUGAGCUGCUGGUGUCAAACCAAAAGGCUCUGAAUUCUCCUUCUUCUGUUCAACGUGUGCAAAUUAUUGUGACCUUUAUAUGUACUUGUGGGGGGUGUGCUUGUUGUGGCUUGUGCCGUCAUGCUCAUAUUGCAAGACCACCCAGGGGGAAUAGUGUGUGUGUGCGUCUGUUGCUGAGGUUACUUCCUUUUCUUCUCUCCGACCUCCUGCACCCGGAUUCUGAAUGCGGAGAAAUUCUUCACCUCCAAGUGUGUGUCAUCUUAAAGCUGACUUUCUCUAAGCAUAGCCAGGCAGCUGUUGCCAAGGCCAGCUGGCGUAAAUUCUCUCCGUUUGACAGCUGAUGAAGGGAUGGAGGAUUUAUAACUUAUUUGAGUUCCCAUACAUCACCCUUUGUGUCGCUUGCUUAUGAUGGCCUUGCCAAAAGAUAAAGAAGUGCAGGACUCUCAGUAUGGGCUGUGUUGACAGGCCAGGGACAAAUGUCUCUGUUGGGUAAAUUGAUUUGAAUAGCUCUAGUGAAAUAUCAGGCGAGGCUGAAAAUAUGAUUGGGUUUAAUGAUCCUCCUUGCAUUGUAUCCCACUAGAAUUCCAAAUGGCAGACAAGUUAAUUAAAGUCACGUAUAGCAUUGGGAAUGGAAGGAGAACAUAAUCGGUAGAUAUAGAUAUGUAUUGUCGGAGCAUCUAUCUAUUAACUGUAUCUGUCUGUCUAUCUAAAAGUUAUUUCCCCCUCCUGCUAUUUCCAAUAUAGUGACUUUCCUAGGAGGCCAAUAAAUAUCAUCUGUAAUUUAUAGGGUGUUUAUCCAGGUAAAACUGUUCAGAAUAUUUUCCCCUAACCCCUAGAGUCUAACAAGCAAAAACCUCGAGGCAUAAAAAUGCAGAAUGAAAAGAUGGAGAGCAGACAAACUGUUUAUUCUCCUCUGGUGAAAUUUAGUGCACAUAAAACUUAAUAUGGUGUUAAGAAUUGAGCAUUCAUUUUCUGUGAGCAAAGGAGGUUUGCGGCCGUAUAAGUUGGGAAUCGGAAAGGGAAGGUAAAGUAGUAGUUGUUGUUGGUGUGUGUGUGUGUGUUUAUCUAUCUAUAUAUUGCAUACAUGAAUGAAAAUAUGUAAAAAAUAAAGCAGAUAUAUCUUCACGUAUGCCCUUUGCACCUCUCUUUGGGCAUGACCUCAAUGCUGCCCUUGUGUGCAAAGUAGUUUUUGUUGUUCAUGUUUAAAAGAAUUAUGGGGGGGAAAGUUUGUUUGAGUUUAUCUCAUGUUGUACAUCUCUGCAGCAUCUGUUGAAUGUUAUGAACUCAGACCUUCCUUAUUCAGCAAAGUAUCACGAGAGCAUCAAGAGAUCUUGUAGGGUGGAAGAAUAAGGUGGGUCAAGAGAAGCAGUGAUUUCUCAGUGCUACAAUGCCCCACGAGUGUCAAAUGAACAUCCAAACACACUUUGGUCAACAGAUGGGGCUCCGCUGUGUGCCAGAAUUAUCCAAAGUUAAAUUGAGUGGCAAAAGGCACAUGACAUUCUUGGUGGUGAUGACCUCCUUGUGGAAUGCUCAGCCAUCAGAAGUAUGAUAGACAUGUUCAGUGCUAGCAUUAAAGAGGUAAUUGAAAACCUUAUUAUUCAUGUAGGCAUUUGGGGAGAUGUGAAAGGAAAAUUAUCCCAUUCUUACUUAAUGUUUUAGUAGCAUCUGUGUGUUGGUUUUUACACUGCUUUAUUUUUAUUGAUGUUGUAUUGAUGAGAUUAUAUUGUUUAUUGUUAACUAUCAUGGUGAAAACAGAAAUUUAGAUUUAGAAUAAGAUAAAUGAAUGGGACAGAAUUGUUAAAGAUAUGAAAGAAAGUCAGAAGAUAAAUUUAUAUGAAUAUAUAUAUAUAUAUAUAUAUAUGGCAAACACAUGCGAGUUGUGAGUAAGGUCAAAAGGAAAUUGUAUGGGGGCUACAAUCUUAUUAUUUUUUUAUAUUUUGCUGGAAGCUGCCCACAGUGGCUGGGGAAACCCAGCCAGAUGGAUGGGGUAUAAUUAUUAUUAUUAUUCAUAUUUACCUUGGAAUAAGCCACAUUGAAUCAAAUGGCACUUACAUGGGUAAACAUAUGUCACUUAAAUAGUAAGAUUGUGUGUUCAAAAAAAGAGGGGGGGGGAGACCUACAUCAUGCAUGUUAUUGGUGACACGAAGAUCAAAUCACAUUAUUUGUUAAUACCUAGUAGCCACGUAAAUAUAUAAUGGGCGAUAUCCUGUGAUGUCUGCCUAUUUGCACACACAAAAACCCACUUCAGCAUGACUUCACCUUCCUCCUCUCCCACCUCCAGUGCCAUCCAACCCCAGGGUUUUUUUGGAGGCCCCCCAACCCUCUGGAACAGAUUGGAGGUGGGCCCAGGCUGCAGGAGAAGCAGACAAAGGAGAAGCCGUGUUACGCAAGCAGACACCCUAUUGAACUUCAUUGAAUCUCACCCAAGAACUUUCUGGAAAUGUAGUGAUAGAAUUAUCAAAGAGAAAACAGGAG